GUGAUUUUAGUUUAAGAUAAAAUAUUUAUUUUGCGUGUAAAAGUUCUAAGUGUUUUUAGAAAUCACA
rnacentral:tRNA from 1 species